AGAGUUUGAUCCUGGCUCAGGAUGAACGCUAGCGACAGGCUUAACACAUGCAAGUCGAGGGGCAGCAUGAUUUGUAGCAAUACAGAUUGAUGGCGACCGGCGCACGGGUGAGUAACGCGUAUGCAACUUACCUAUCAGAGGGGGAUAGCCCGGCGAAAGUCGGAUUAAUACCCCAUAAAACAGGGGUCCCGCAUGGGAAUAUUUGUUAAAGAUUCAUCGCUGAUAGAUAGGCAUGCGUUCCAUUAGGCAGUUGGCGGGGUAACGGCCCACCAAACCGACGAUGGAUAGGGGUUCUGAGAGGAAGGUCCCCCACAUUGGUACUGAGACACGGACCAAACUCCUACGGGAGGCAGCAGUGAGGAAUAUUGGUCAAUGGCCGAGAGGCUGAACCAGCCAAGUCGCGUGAAGGAAGAAGGAUCUAUGGUUUGUAAACUUCUUUUAUAGGGGAAUAAAGUGGAGGACGUGUCCUUUUUUGUAUGUACCCUAUGAAUAAGCAUCGGCUAACUCCGUGCCAGCAGCCGCGGUAAUACGGAGGAUGCGAGCGUUAUCCGGAAUUAUUGGGUUUAAAGGGUGCGUAGGUUGCAAGGGAAGUCAGGGGUGAAAAGCUGUAGCUCAACUAUGGUCUUGCCUUUGAAACUCUCUAGCUAGAGUGUACUGGAGGUACGUGGAACGUGUGGUGUAGCGGUGAAAUGCAUAGAUAUCACACAGAACUCCGAUUGCGCAGGCAGCGUACUACAUUACAACUGACACUGAAGCACGAAAGCGUGGGUAUCCAACAGGAUUAGAUACCCUGGUAGUCCACGCAGUAAACGAUGAAUACUAGAUCUAUGCGAUAUACAGUAUGGGUCUAAGCGAAAGCGAUAAGUAUUCCACCUGGGGAGUACGCCGGCAACGGUGAAACUCAAAGAGAUUGGCGGGGGUCCGCACAAGCGGAGGAACAUGUGGUUUAAUUCGAUGAUACGCGAGGAACCUUA
rnacentral:rRNA from 1 species